rnacentral:lncRNA from 1 species
AGGGAGAAAAGCUUAAUUACUGUCCAAUGAAGUUGAACCCUUGGCUGAGGAAAGGCAUGGACACGUGACAUUCCCCACCCCCAGCCGGGAGUGGAAGGGGAGUGAGGAACCGUCGCUCACCCAUCGAGCCUGAAACUAGAAGAAAAAGGCCAUGGAAAAGCCCCUGAUCCUGGGAGUGACAGGGGUGGAGGACCUGAGUUAUAAUUUCACAAGAAUUUGAACUUUAUUUUUCUGCGGAGAGUCACGUGAUUUGGUAAAGAAGCAAAUUAAAGGAAUUGAGACACUGACAAAAUAACAAGCAAAUUUAUAUAUCACCUUCUAAAACUAAUACAUCUUCUAGGUGUUUCUGAAAAGUUAUCACACAGAAAUUAUCUGAUUGGACUAAAUCACCCACUGAAAAAAUAAACCUGCAUGGGAGAUAUAUACAUUUAUAAAAUCAGGCAGGAAAUGUAGUUAUGUUAUAUUUAGAUUGUAGCUGGCUUCAACGCUGCUUCUGGAUUCAUCACGGGUGACUGGUGGACAUUGAGAAGGUUAUCCCUUUUAGGAAAACAAUCUAUCUUUGCCAAAUAUUAACCAGGAAUAGAUUUAUAUGGCUUAAAUGACCACCUUGGCACUUUGAAAUUUGAGAAAUAGCACUUCUAGUAAGAAAAAUUAUUAUAUGGGGUUUUCUCUUUUUAAAACAUUUUAUUCUUUUGAUGUAAGUUGAUUAUAACACAAAAUUUAGAAGCAAGAAGAAAGAUGGAUAACUUCGACUAAAUAAAUAAAAAUCAUGCCACAUAAAAUCACUAUAACACAAUUAAAAAGGCAGAUUUCCAAAAUAUGAGAGAUAACGCUUGCACUAUGCACUACAAAUUAAUGUAUCAUAUCCCUAAUAUAUGAAAGACUCUUUAAAAACAAGGCUCAAAUGCUGGGUGCGGUGGCUUACGCCUGUAAUCCCAGCACUUUGGGAGGCUGAGGCGGGCAGAUCAUGAGGUCAGGAGUUCGAGACCAGCCUGGCCCAUAUGGUGAAACCCUGUCUCUACUAAAAAUACAAAAAUUAGCCAGGCAUGGUGGCGGGUGCCUGUAGUCCCAGCUACUCAGGAGGCUGAGGCAGAAGAAUCGCUUGAACCCGGGAGGUGGAGGUUGCAGUGAGCCGAGAUCACGCCACUGCACUCCAGCCUGGGCGACAGAGUCACACUCCAUCCAAAAAAAACAAAAAAAAAAUUUAGAAAACUGAGCAAUUAUCAUGAAUAAAGAUUUCCCACAGAAAUUAUACAAAUGGCCUUUGAACUCAUAAAAAGAUGCUUAAUUUUACUCAUUAUAAGGGAAACAUAAAAUAAAAUUACCUGCUUGAUAUUAUUUAUCAUCUAUCACAUUGGCAAAAAUUCAAGUGUGACAAGACUCUUUUGCUGAAGUUGUACAGCACCAGGCACUCUCAAAUAUUGCUGAUGGAAUACAAAAAUACAACAGAAUUGUGAAGAACUUCCCAAUAACUAAAAAAAAAAAAAAAAAAAAACUGAUAUGAAGUUACUCUCUCACCCAGUAAUCCCACCUCUAAAGAUUUACUCUUAAAAUACAUCUCCAAGAAAAUCAAACAAAGCAAAACUUCACCAAGACAAUUAUUGCAGCAAUAUUUCUAAUAGUAAAAUAUAUGAAAAAAAAAUUCUCCUUUAUAGGAAAUUGGUUGAAUAAACUAGGCUAAACACAUAUGAAUGGACAACUACACAACUAUGUAAUAAAAUGAGCAUAAUCUUCAUGAAUUAAUAUUGUGUAAUCUCUAGGAUGUAUUGUGAAGUGAAAAAACAAAGUGGGAAAAUAUACUUAAUACAAAACCUGUGUUUAAGCAUGAAUGGGUAUAAAAUAUGUAUUUAUAUAUAUGUAUUUUUAAGAUCUUAAUUUUUAAAGAAAGAAAGGAAGUGUCAAUCAGAUACUAAAGAAAAUGGUUACACAGAGAGAGUGAUGGGCAUUGAGUGGAAGAAAAAGAGUUGAGAGUGGGACUCUUCUAAUAUGUUUUUACUUUGAAACUAUGUCAAUAAUUUACAUAUUUAAAAAAAUAAAGCAAAAGGAAUGCAAAUGAAGCAAGUAUCAACAUGAAAAACAAAUAGAAACAAAGGAAUAUAUCACUGCAGCAUUGAUACCAUAAUUAUACCAAAGAAUUAAUGCACUUAUUCUAAAGUGGAAUUUGUUCAUUUUUGAACAAAGUGCUCUGAGGGGACAUCCUUGAUGGGAUAUACUCUAAGGAAAAGACAGAAAACAAGAGAAAAUGCCGAAAAAUUCUAAAAGUUACAUAGUGGUUUUGAUGUUGAUAGUGGUAGGCAUGUAGUGAUUUCAAAACUAUUUUUAUGCAGUGUAGAAUUGAACAAAGAAAGGAACAUAUUGAUACUAUUGGGAAGUAGGUUCUCAUUAUGGGAGAAGUGAGAUGCAAAUAUGAAAUAGGAAUGGAGAUAAAGAGCCUUGUGAUGGCCAGGCGCAGUGGUUCACGCCUGUAAUCCCAGCGCUUUGGGAGGCUGAAGUGGGUGGAUCACAAGGUCAGGAGUUCAAGGCCAGCCUGGUUAAUAUGGUGAAACCCCGUCUCUACUAAAAAUACAAAAAACAAUUAGCCGGGCGUGGUGGAGCACACCUGUAAUCCCAGCUACUCAGGAGCCUGAGGCAGGAGAAUUGCUUGAACCUGGGAGGCUGAGGUUGGGGUGAGCAAAGAUCACGCCACUGCACUCCAGCCUGGGCGACAGAGGGAGACUCUGCCUCAAAGAAAAAAAAAAAAGCCUUGUGAUGUAGGAGAGUAUUAGAAGUAUCAGUACAGUCAUCCUUCAGUAUCCACAGGAGAUUGCUUCCAGGACACUGCAGAUACCAAAACCCAUAGAUGCUCAAGUCCCUUAUAUAAAAUGGAAUAGUAUUUGCAUAUUACCUAUGCAAAUCCUCCCAUAUACUUUAAAUAAUUUCUCAAUUAUUUUGAAUACCCAAUAAAAUGUAAUUGUUAUGUGAAUAGUUGUUAUACUAUAUUUUUAUUUCAUUUUUACAUAAUAAAAAUUGUUAUUUUGUGUUGCAUGUUUUAGAAAAAUAUUUUCCUUCUGUGAUUGGUUGCAUCCACAGAUGCAGAACCUGAGCAGAGUGAAGAGGUUGUUCUACUACCAUCUGGCUUCUAUAGUUGAGAAGUUAUAUACGAAGGCAUACACAAGGAUUACGGCAAGAUUGCUUUACUGCCUUCUGCUAACUCUGCAUCAACAGGAAACGAAAGUUUUUGAACU